rnacentral:rRNA from 1 species
GUGAGGAAUAUUGGUCAAUGGACGAGAGUCUGAACCAGCCAAGUCGCGUGAAGGAAGACGGUUCUAUGAAUUGUAAACUUCUUUUGUGCAGGAAUAAAGUGGGUUACGUGUAACCUUUUGUAUGUACUGUACGAAUAAGGAUCGGCUAACUCCGUGCCAGCAGCCGCGGUAAUACGGAGGAUCCGAGCGUUAUCCGGAUUUAUUGGGUUUAAAGGGUGCGUAGGUGGAUUGAUAAGUCAGCGGUGAAAGUUUGCAGCUUAACUGUAAAAUUGCCGUUGAAACUGUCGGUCUUGAGUGCAAAUGAGGUAGGCGGAAUGUGUUGUGUAGCGAUGAAAUGCUUAGAUAUAACACAGAACUCCGAUUGCGAAGGCAGCUUACUGGGAUGCAACUGACACUGAUGCACGAAAGCGUGGGUAUCAAACAGGAUUAGAUACCCCAGUAGUCC